AGAGCCCAGACUACAAUAAAAUGCUACAAUAUGCUUUCAAGCUGGAGCGACUAAAAAGCUGGGAAGGGAAAGCGGCAGUAUAAUGUCUAUUUUUAUCUUCAACUAUAAUCUACCCACUUGUAGUUUCAUAGCUGUCAGGAGGCAGAAAAGGACAUGUAAUCAGCCUACCGUUCUCUGCUCGCAUCCUACACCUGCGUGGCAUGAAUGUGGGUGUGUGUGCACAUACACAGAUACUUCAACACACUGUCAGAGGGUUCGAUUGAACUCACACCUGAAGCCAGAUUUUUUUUUAGAAGUUGUCCCUUUGUUCAUUAUUUCUUGGCCAUUUUCUGGGUCCCGAAGGAUAAUUGUUAGCCUUGGAUGACCAGAAGGAGCAGCUAUGCACCUAUUAGUCUUUUUCAGCCUUGGCCACACUGUGUUAUGAGAAUUCCUAACCUCCUUAACACUACUCACUGGUUUGGUGAUUAUCUAUCUCCUUGAGAGAAAGCAAGUAUGACCCAAUGGAAAUAGCACAGCCUUGGAGUCGGGACACCUGAGCAUCUUGCCUCGUUCUGCCAUGUCCAAACUCUGUGACCUCCAGCAAGUUCCUUUACCACUCUGAACCUCAGUGUCCUCAUCUGCAGAGGGACGACAACCCCUAUUUGAUGACUGUUGAAAGAAUUCAAGAUAAUGUAUGCAAACAACUUACCGACACUUGUACAUUCAACUAUCAUCUUCUUCAAAGAAGAAACUGUGGCGGGUGCUAUUCCACAACCCAUGUUUAUGUCCAAGCUUUGUUGGAUUCCUGUUUGGGAAUUUCCUUCCGAGGCGGGCGGUGUCGCAUUCAUUUGAAGUCAGUCAAUCAUGUCCUCCUGGAACUCCAGUAAGACAAGUCUUGCCUUUCAUGUGGACUCAUACAAUGUAGGUGCUCACAUUGGUGGAGUAAGAAGCGCUGCACAGAAAUAGCUCAUCGGCAGAAUUGUGCUCUCAAGGAUGGGUAUCUUCAAGCCAUCCUUGACUCUCUAGAGCAGAAAGACAAACAAGUAUAAUGCUGAGGAGGGGGAAGAAUAUUUAACUGCAGGCAGAAGAAUCUCACGUGAAAUUUUUACAAGUGAGGAAACGGAAGCACAAAAAGGCUGUGCUAAGGUCAAGCAGAUCUUACUGCCUAACAGGUA